rnacentral:piRNA from 1 species
UCCGCAAUAAUUAUGGUUACU